rnacentral:lncRNA from 1 species
CCGCCCUCUAUUCCACCUUCGUUGUUGUCCUCUGCUCUGGUGCCGUCACCGCCAAACUGCCCUCCUAGUUGCAGCUAGAGGUGUUUGCCUGUGUGGCCCUGCUCUUUCCCUGCCAUGGAUACGUUUCUUUGAAUGAGGUAGCUCCUUGCCAUAUGAUUUAUAAUGGGUGAGGUUAGUUCUUUUAUAUAUAUAUAUAUAUAUAUAUAUAUAUAUAUAUAUAUAUAAUUUAGAUGAUAUUGUUGGCUUGGGUGAGUUAAUUAAGUUGGUCAGUGUUUAAGUAGCCAAAUGGUUCAUGCCUCUGUCUAAAUAAACUUAUAAAUUCUAUGGUUCUUUUUGUCCUUGCCAAGCAAUGCAAAUCAACAAGGACUUCGGUGCCUUAUCUAUUUAUGAUUAUGAUGAUCAUUUUCUACUUAUCUGAUGCCCCUCUUAUAUUUUGAUUAUGCUGCUGAUUUCUAGCAAACAAGCUUCAUGCUCUAUCACUAACUGCGAGGACAGACAAUUGCCCCAUAAUGCUUGAGGUAAUCAUAACAUAUCAUUGUGCUAUUCUUUUAACUGUCAUUCUGAGGUACUCAACGUGUGUGGGUGCAGAUUUAUCUUCAAAUCUUCUUUGUACUGUAAAGUUCAGAUGUCAUACCUGACUACUUGCAUGUUGCAGUCUUUUGUCCAAGACGAUUCCAACAUCAGGAUUGCCAUCUAUUCAAGUAAUACACGGUACUAUUCCUCUCAUUGCGAUUAACUGCUACUUUCUAUGACAUAAAUUAUGCAUUGGAUCCCAAUCAGUGGCACUAAGUUUUAGGUUGACUGCAAUGCCUUUUCUCUGCAGUUGCUCACUGCAAUUGCUUUUUGUCAAGCCUCAUUGAUGUAUUCAACAAGUAUCAGUCGCUGAAGCAAGUUCUGCUGCAGCACAAAUCUAACAGUGUUAGGUUCUUAUGUUCUUCUGGUUAUACCUAGCAUUCUUCAAUGCCAAUUUAUCACAUUUCUAGGUGCCUUUUCUGGUUAUAGUUUCUUACUCUAUUUUUAUAGCAUCUAUAUGAAGCAGCAAUAGUCAUUUCAGGAUUCUUUCCUGCUGGUAGGACAGAUGUGGAAUCAUAACAAAUGUCCAAAUUUGGCGUGUUUCAUAUGACCUAAGUAGCAAAAAGAUAGGCAUUAGUACAAUUAGACAUGGCUUGUGGGUAAUAAGGCUUAGCUAUAUGGUCAUUAACUUAGCUAUAAAGUUGUUACUUGACCAGAUCAGCUAUCUGGCAGAACUAAGACUUACAACUGGCACAUCACUUCAGAGAACAUACUUGCUUAGACCUGCAACUUGCAUGUACCAUAUUCUUCAGAUACGUUGGUUGCCCAUAUAAAAUGGGGUCUUAAUUCCUUUACGUGCAAUAAUUCAUAAAGUCUGAAUUCAUCUUCAACAGUGCUUUGGUCACAACCAAUUGAAAGCUGUAGAUAUUUCUUACCACACACAUUCCUUAUGGUAGUGUUCAAAUAAAAUAAAUUUACUCUAAAUAUUUGCUUGACUGAAAGACAAUUUACCUUUAUUGCAUUUCAGGAUUCAGUUAUACCCUAAAACAGAUUUAUUUGACCCUUUAUAAAGUUACAUGUCCAUAUUAUAUAUUCAUAUUAAUAUUAGUUUAUUCCAAGCUACAGUCCAAAUAAAUAAUUGAACCAUUUGGUAGUAAUCAGUUGUUGAGCAAAGCUCCCAAAUAGCACGUGUAAUCAAGUUCUAUUGUGUUGUAUUCAUACUCUCAGAUGGUGGUUAGAUCUUUAUGCCACAUUAUGACUUAAUGAAUGUAUCCUCUUAUGUGAAUUAGCUAAGCAUUGACAAGUGAAGUCCUUGCAUGAUUACAUCUUAUUUAAUCUUUGUAAGAUAAGUUAAUUAGCAUAUCCAUAUGUUUUUAGUUUUGACUUACACAAAGAAACUGCUAUAUUUAGUCACUGGCUAAUUCAUUACUUCGUUGAGUUAUUUCUCUCUUCUGUUGACUGCAGUAAUAACUGGUGCUUUCUUCACUAGGUCAACAUCUCCUUUGUUUAUAUAUACCUUACCCAUCUUUACGGAAUCACAUUCACUGCACUUGCAUCUUUUUCCCUUUUCUCCAUUGAUACUAUCCUCAAUCUAUUAGUGUGGUAACACCGGUAUAUAUUCUGUUGAAUUGUAUGAUAGGUGAUGCCUUUCUGAAUGAUAUUGGUACAAUUGGAAGGAUAAUAGAGCAAAGAUUUACCUUUUGUUUUUAUGGUGUCCUGGCCAUAGUCAAACACGGGAGAUCACCAUACAUUAGUUGAUUCUGCCUAAUUCUAAUACCAAUGUAAUUGCAAGUUGACAUUGAUUUCAGACACCGCUUUGUGUAAAGAUAUUUUGUAGAAGUUCUUUUAUCCUACUUCAACCAUUGCAUGCCGAAGCAAAACAUGUCUACGUUCUUAUGUGAUGUGAUUCGGGUGAAUGAAAUUCAGACAUUUGUCAGACCCAUUACUUAUAAUGGGUGUUCCUUCAAAA